CGGCGACGCGCGACGGGUGNGUAACGCGUAUGUAACCUACCUUUGACAGGGGGAUAACAUCGAGAAAUUGGUACUAAUACCCCAUAACAUCACCGGAGGCAUCUUCGGUGGUUGAAAACUCAGGUGGUCAGAGAUGGACAUGCGUUGUAUUAGCUAGUUGGUGAGGUAACGGCUCACCAAGGCGACGAUACAUAGGGGGACUGAGAGGUCAACCCCCCACAUUGGUACUGAGACACGGACCAAACUCCUACGGGAGGCAGCAG
rnacentral:rRNA from 1 species